rnacentral:rRNA from 1 species
AUUGAACGCUGGCGGCAGGCCUAACACAUGCAAGUCGAGCGGAUCGGCGGACGGGUGAGUAAUACCUAGGAAUCUGCCUGGUCGUGUGGGAUAAGGUCCAGAAACGGGCGCUAAUACCACAUACUAUCAGAUGAGCCUAGGUCGGAUUAGCUAGUUGGGGGGGUAAAGGCCUACCAAGGCGAAGAUCAGUAACUGGUCUGAGAGGAUGAUCAGCCACACUGGAACGUGGAUACGGCCCAAACGACUACGGGAGGCAGCAGGGGGGAAUAUUGGACAAUGGGCGAAAGCCUGAUGCAGCCAUGCCGCGUGUGUGAAGAAGGUCUUCGGAUUGUAAAGUACUUUAAGUUGGGAGGCGUUACCAACAGAAGAAGCACCGGCUAACUUCGUGCCAGCAGCCGCGGUAAUAC